UGGGGAAUAUUGGACAAUGGGGGGAACCCUGAUCCAGCCAUGCCGCGUGUGUGAAGAAGGCCUUAUGGUUGUAAAGCACUUUAAGCGAGGAGGAGGGUACUGGUAUUAAUACUACCAGGUACUGGACGUUACUCGCAGAAUAAGCACCGGCUAACUCUGUGCCAGCAGCCGCGGUAAUACAGAGGGUGCGAGCGUUAAUCGGAUUUACUGGGCGUAAAGCGUGCGUAGGCGGCUAAUUGAGUCGGAUGUGAAAUCCCCGAGCUUAACUUUGGAAUUGCAUUCGGUACUGGUUAGCUAGAGUGUGGGAGAGGAUGGUAGAAUUCCAGGUGUAGCGGUGAAAUGCGUAGAGAUCUGGAGGAAUACCGAUGGCGAAGGCAGCCAUCUGGCCUAACACUGACGCUGAGGUACGAAAGCAUGGGGAGCAAACAGG
rnacentral:rRNA from 1 species